GAAGUAAUCUCAACAAACACCUUGUGUGCGCGUUGGACUUGGGGGCUUGCUGUUGACUUGUUCACAGCUCCUCCUAAAUGUGUUAGCUGUUGGUGAUGAACCACUGUUGGCUUGAUAUCUUGUCUGUGCCGCGGUUGUACAUGUACCAGUGCUGAUAAUCGUCCUCGGACAACUU
rnacentral:misc_RNA from 1 species